UGGGGAAUUUUCCGCAAUGGGCGCAAGCCUGACGGAGCAAUACCGCGUGAGGGAGGAAGGCUUUUGGGUUGUAAACCUCUUUUAUCAAGGAAGAAGCAAGUGACGGUACUUGAAGAAUCAGCAUCGGCUAACUCCGUGCCAGCAGCCGCGGUAAUACGGAGGAUGCAAGCGUUAUCCGGAAUCAUUGGGCGUAAAGCGUCCGCAGGUGGUGCAUCAAGUCUGCUGUUAAAGACAGAAGCUCAACUUCUGAUAGGCAGUGGAAACUGGUGAACUAGAGUACGGUAGGGGUUGAGGGAAUUCCCAGUGUAGCGGUGAAAUGCGUAGAUAUUGGGAAGAACACCAGUGGCGAAGGCGCUCAACUGGGCCGUAACUGACACUCAGGGACGAAAGCUAGGGUAGCGAAAGGGAUUAGAUACCCCCGUAGUCC
rnacentral:rRNA from 1 species